AUUGAACGCUGGCGGCAUGCUUUACACAUGCAAGUCGAACGGCAGCACGGGCUUCGGCCUGGUGGCGAGUGGCGAACGGGUGAGUAAUAUAUCGGAACGUACCCAGAAGUGGGGGAUAACGUAGCGAAAGUUACGCUAAUACCGCAUACGAUCUAUGGAUGAAAGCAGGGGACCGCAAGGCCUUGUGCUCCUGGAGCGGCCGAUAUCUGAUUAGCUAGUUGGUGAGGUAAAGGCUCACCAAGGCGACGAUCAGUAGCUGGUCUGAGAGGACGACCAGCCACACUGGAACUGAGACACGGUCCAGACUCCUACGGGAGGCAGCAGUGGGGAAUUUUGGACAAUGGGCGCAAGCCUGAUCCAGCAAUGCCGCGUGAGUGAAGAAGGCCUUCGGGUUGUAAAGCUCUUUUGUCAGGGAAGAAACGGUAGAGGCUAAUAUCCUUUGCUAAUGACGGUACCUGAAGAAUAAGCACCGGCUAACUACGUGC
rnacentral:rRNA from 1 species